GGGCCCGUAGCUCAUCUGGGAGAGCGCCACAAUGGCAUUGUGGAGGUAGCGCGUUCGAUCCGCGUCGGGUCCACCA
rnacentral:tRNA from 1 species